UACGUAGGGAGCAAGCGUUGUCCGGAAUCACUGGGCGUAAAGGGCGCGUAGGCGGCCUGGCAAGUCGAUGGUGAAAGCCCGAGGCUCAACUUCGGGUCGGCCACUGAUACUGCUGGGCUUGAGUCGACUAGAGGCAGAUGGAAUUCCGGGUGUAGCGGUGGAAUGCGUAGAGAUCCGGAAGAACACCGGUGGCGAAGGCGGUCUGCUGGGGUCGAACUGACGCUGAGGCGCGACAGCGUGGGGAGCAAACAGG
rnacentral:rRNA from 1 species